UGCUAGAAAUGGGCUGAUGGCACUGUAC
rnacentral:sRNA from 1 species